rnacentral:rRNA from 1 species
UACAGAGGGUGCAAGCGUUAAUCGGAAUUACUGGGCGUAAAGCGUGCGUAGUCGGUUAUUUAAGUCGGAUGUGAAAUCCCCGGGCUCAACCUGGGAAUUGCAUUCGAUACUGGAUAGCUAGAGUUCGGCAGAGGGAAGCGGAAUUUCGGGUGUAGCGGUGAAAUGCGUAGAUAUCCGAAGGAACAUCAGUGGCGGAAAGCGGACUUCCUGGACCAGAACUGACGAAUCAGGCCACGGAAAAGCGAUGGGGGAG